rnacentral:tRNA from 1 species
GUUAUUGUGGCUAGGGUUAGAGCAUGGUGUUUGCAACACCAGGGUUGUGGGUUCGAUUCCCACGGGGGACC